rnacentral:rRNA from 1 species
CCCCUAGAUGUUCUGGGCCGCACGCGCGCUACACUGAACAGUUCAACAUGUCUUAACCUUGGCCGAUAGGUCUGGGUAAUCUUUGAACGCUGUUCGUGAUUGGGAUAGACCUUUGCAAUUAUGGGUCUUCAACGAGGAAUUCCUAGUAAACGCAAGUCAUCAGCUUGCAUUGAUUACGUCCCUGCCCUUUGUACACACCGCCCGUCGCACCUACCGAUUGAAUGGUCCGGUGAAAUCUCGGGACGGCGGCUUGGUCGCUUGCGUCCGACUGCUGAAACUUGAUUAAACCAUAUCAUUUAGAGGAAGGUGAAGUCGUAACA